UACAUUGAAAGAGUAAUAAAAUAAAUCAA
rnacentral:piRNA from 1 species